AGAGUUUGAUCCUGGCUCAGGACGAACGCUGGCGGCAUGCCUAAUACAUGCAAGUCGAACGAGUGCUUGCACAGUGGCGAACUGGUGAGUAACACGUGGGAAAUCUGCCCAGAAGCAGGGGAUAACACUUGGAAACAGGUGCUAAUACCGUAUAACAACAAAUCCGCAUGGAUUUUGUUGAAAGGUGUUCGUAUCACUUCUGGAUGAUCCCGCGGCGUAUUAGUUAGUUGGUGAGGUAAAGGCCCACCAAGACGAUGAUACGUAGCCGACCUGAGAGGGUAAUCGGCCACAUUGGGACUGAGACACGGCCCAAACUCCUACGGGAGGCAGCAGUAGGGAAUCUUCCACAAUGGACGAAAGUCUGAUGGAGCAAUGCCGCGUGAGUGAAGAAGGGUUUCGGCUCGUAAAACUCUGUUGUUAAAGAAGAACACCUUUGAGGUAAUUCAAGGGUUGACGGUAUUUAACCAGAAAGCCACGGCUAACUACGUGCCAGCAGCCGCGGUAAUACGUAGGUGGCAAGCGUUGUCCGGAUUUAUUGGGCGUAAAGCGAGCGCAGGCGGUUUUUUAAGUCUGAUGUGAAAGCCUUCGGCUUAACCGGAGAAGUGCAUCGGAAACUGGGAGACUUGAGUGCAGAAGAGGACAGUGGAACUCCAUGUGUAGCGGUGGAAUGCGUAGAUAUAUGGAAGAACACCAGUGGCGAAGGCGGCUGUCUAGUCUGUAACUGACGCUGAGGCUCGAAAGCAUGGGUAGCGAACAGGAUUAGAUACCCUGGUAGUCCAUGCCGUAAACGAUGAGUGCUAAGUGUUGGAGGGUUUCCCCCUUCAGUGCUGCAGCUAACGCAUUAAGCACUCGGCUGGGGAGUACGA
rnacentral:rRNA from 1 species